AUUGAACGCUGACGGCAUGCCUUACACAUGCAAGUCGAACGGCAGCACGGGAGCAAUCCUGGUGGCGAGUGGCGAACGGGUGAGUAAAGUAUCGGAACGUGCCCAGUCGUGGGGGAUAACGUAGCGAAAGUUACGCUAAUACCGCAUACGAUCUAUGGAUGAAAGCGGGGGAUCGCAAGACCUCGCGCGAUUGGAGCGGCCGAUAUCAGAUUAGGUAGUUGGUGGGGUAAAGGCCCACCAAGCCAACGAUCUGUAGCUGGUCUGAGAGGACGACCAGCCACACUGGAACUGAGACACGGUCCAGACUCCUACGGGAGGCGGCAGUGGGGAAUUUUGGACAAUGGGCGAAAGCCUGAUCCAGCCAUUCCGCGUGCAGGGUGAAGGCCCUCGGGUUGUAAACUGCUUUUGUACAGAACGAAAAGGUUUCUACUAAUACUAGGAGCUCAUGACGGUACUGUAAGAAUAAGCACCGGCUAACUACGUGCCAGCCGCCGCCGUAA
rnacentral:rRNA from 1 species